rnacentral:lncRNA from 1 species
AUGGGUUGGUGGAAGUAUCUGUGCAAAUACAUAUCAGUGUGUGCUUCUUUACCAUACAGCUCUGCUGACUCAAGGAGUGGACGAUGUGCCCUUCACUCAGAGCCUGAUCAGAGAGAUGAGCUGUUGAAGCUGUGUUCCCCUCAGAGCACAUCCCAGAAAAGCUGUAACCACAGCAGAGCACAAGGUACCACUUCAGGGAAAGCAAAGGGAACAGAAGACAGAAUGUGUUCUGGAAGUAAAGAAAUAACAUUCAAACAUGAACCAGCUUCUUGUAAAGGCAGUUUGUUCUUGACCUCAGUCUCCCUUAGCAGAGCCUAGGCCAUUCCUGUUGUUCCAGUGGGUAUGCUUUGCAUUUGUAUCUAUGUGAGAAACUUGUAUUUUACAGUUUCAGAGAGUAAAUAUGAUGCCUUCUGUAUCACAGAUUUUUAAAAAGUGAUUUAAAUUGAAUUAGGUAGAACAUGAAAGAUGCUCCCACCUCUGUUCAAGUGGUUGACACUGUAAUAAUGAAACCUAUGACACCAUAUGUAAAAAUAGCUGUUAUUAAAUGAGCUCAUCUGAAUGGCCUUAAAGAUAGGAAUAUGCUGCCCUUGCUGCCUUGCAAAUGAAGUAAUUGUGUUGCUUUGCAUUGAUCUGUGCAAAGUUUAAUCUUAGACACAGCCUGAGAAACCACUGUGGAGAGAUGCUAGGAGGAGAUCAAAUUUAGCCCUCCUGGUGAGAUUUCAGGCUCCAUCACUGUACUGCUCAUCCCCCCACAGGGCAGCCAAGCAGGUAAAGAAUUUACUUUGAACCAGGAAGUUUACAUGACUGAGGCUGAUUUUUAGCCAUGAUUUCAACAACUCCAUGAUGUGCAGACAUCUCGUAGACCAGGCACUGUGCUGGAAACUUUUAAUUUCAACUGAUGCUGAGCAGUGCUUGCAGCAUCCCCCCAGCAUCUUUCACCCAAAUUGGGUGGGCCAGAGCAGUGCCCAGGACACUGCCCUCUGUGGGCUGGUGUCACUGGGGUGGUGUUUCUGAUGGAGAUAAUCCAGCUGGGAAUUGCUGCUGGGCUCCAUGUGUGGGUUUGGGUGUGGUGUGAAAUCUCCCUGAGCCCAAGGACCUCUGCUCCUAUCCCUCUGGGAAUGCAGUGAGAAGCAGUGCUGGCUUGGGUCCUUUGAUAGUUGGGGUUGCUUUGUUUUCUCUGCAGGUCACUUUCCUUUUAAGCCAUUAGCUUUCCCCAUCUCUGUCCUUGGCAGGAUGAGGUGAGGGUCCAGGACAGGCCUUCCUAGAGCUGCCACUCCCUCCAGCCCUGCAGAACAGGUGCUGUGAGCCAGAGCAUCCGCUUUUCCCACCCUAAUUGCUGAGUGCUGAUAAGCCAAUUUCCCUAGAUGGAUCCUCCCUCACUCAGGUUUCCUCCCACGCUGUAUUUUCCCUCCUUUUCCCUGGGUGGGUGAUCCAGCUUGGGCUCAUCAGGAGAAUGUCAUUUGAGCCAGGAUCAUCUCAUUAUUUGGGGCUGUAAGCCGAUAACAGCUUGUUCCCCGUUGUGUGCUUUGCUUUGAUUCUGUGAGCUGUAUCUCAUCACUUUGUGCCUAAAUUUCAACUUUGUAGCUCAUUGCUGCAGGGUAUUUGUCAGGCACAAAACCCCUUCUCUAAUUUCAUGGCAAGCUUAGGGGUGCAUAAACCCAAAGCAGAAAGAGGCAGUAAUGAGAGUGACUGGAGGGGACAGGGGCAGCUGCUGCUGCUUUGCUGCUCUUUGAAAGCCACCAGUGACACUGACACAGCCCUGCUGAAACCAGCGCAGAGCUGUGGGACAAGCCUGGUGUCUCUUCUCCAGCUGCCUUGCCCUGGUUGUGAAAAACAGAAAUGGCACAACCCCAAACUGGUAUAAUGAAACUGCUACAAUCCUCAUUUAAAAUACUCUGCUUUAAUCAGUAAAUUAGGGCUCAGCAAUGUGAUCACUUUUUAUUAGUUAAGCAAGUUAUGGUGCAAAUGCACAUUUCAGUGGCUUACCAUUAAUUAAGCUAAACUGUUUCAGUCAGUGACUAAAUUCACAUUUGAACACACUCAAAUGCUUCCAAGUUUAAUUAGAUCUGUAUUAAACUGUUUUUUGUUAAACUGUUUUAACACAAGCACAUGCAAGGUUUGGCUCUAUGUGAUACUUCUUAAACCUGGGGAUUCUACAGUGGGGAUCCUCAGACACCACAACAUCUGCUGAGCCCUGGGGAUGACAGGGAAAGGGAAGGGCUGAGGAGGCUCCUGCAUGGAAGGUGACACACUGGGCCCUUGGCACUAGCACAGCAUGACCUCCUCUGCUGCCCUGGGACAGUUAGGAGGACUUGUUGGCUGGAGUGUUUAGAUGCAGCACUGGAAGCUGUGACUGCUGUCAUUCAAAUGUGGAAUACAUCAAAAACUGAACUUAAAGAGCAAGUGCAAGACUUAGUGUUGACCUGGAGAGUUUUCAUGUUUCCAUUUUCAAUGUAAGAAACAUUGCCCAUCUCUGCUGAUAACCCUUGUGUAUGAUGGUUGUGUAUUUGCACUCUCCUUGCUGAAAGGUGCUUCCUUUUCAUGAUGCUGCAGUUGGAAUUCUUCACAAUAUGAGCCACUUCAGCUUCAUGGAGACCAUGGGACAGCAGAGUCCCAGACUCACAGCCCAUCAGACAGCACUCAGUGUGCAAUGGCACGGAUGCAGAUGGGCUGGGGGUUUCAUUCCUGGUUCAUUGCUUAGCUGCAAAUACAUAGGCAUGUCUUCCUGAAUGCCAGGUAAUGGGUAAGUAGAAAUAAGUGUCCUGCUCAAACAAGUUCCUAUGCAAAAAAGUAAUCCUUGGGGGUUUUUAAAUGACAUGGGAUAAACUGGAAAUGAACCAGCUGAUGCUAGUACUGAUGAGCAGCACAGAGCCAGGAUAUUUCUGUUUGUGAUAAGGACAGGAUUGGACAAGAGAUUGUUGUAUGAAUUACUCAGGAAGCCAUCCUACAGAAAGGAAAUCCUGUAUUGAGCUGCAUGUGGUUUACAGCAACCCACUCUGCUUGCAGGCUCUCAGAUUAAGAAGUGCUACACCCUGCUGAUAGUUAGUGAGCAAAUAGACUGGCAGAGGUGCCAAGCACAUACACCCUCUCCUGUUUUCCCAUCCCCUGCUGCUGUGGCUGGCAGAGAUCUAUUAGUCCACAAUAAAAAAAUGGAUUUAUGUCUGUCUGAUGCUGUU